UGGGGGGAAGAAAACCAAACCACCCCAUAACUACGUAUAGAACAGCUACAUGAGGAAAUCAAGAACUACUUUAAGAUUUGGUAAUAGACUCCUGGAUAACACUGGGCAAAUCAUUUCAUUUCUCAUGCUUCUUCGAUCCCUCCCAUUAUUCAGCCAUCCCUAGAGGAGUGCUUCAGCUAUCCCCCUUGUAAAACGUAGACAUACUUACCUCCUUACAGGCACUUAGAACGAAUGAUAAAACACUUUAAAAGUUGAAUAUGAAGUUUUUCAGAAAUGGUUGGUUGUUUUUAUAAAUACCUCCCCUCCCUUAGAGGCAAAUACAUCCUACUUCCCCUUCCUUGGGGCAAAACACACUCCACCUCCCAUACUUCAGUUUAUCAAGAACGAGAAUUGCUAGGUACUCAGGCACCAGAAGCACUAAGGUGUGCCAUGGGGCAGGGGUGGGUUCGCGUUGCACUGAAAACAAAAACAAAACCUGCACACACUGAGGAGGUACCUCUCCGAGGAUUUGCAACACAAAAGAAAGUUCUACGCAAAGACAAGGAGCUGCGGGAAGAACUUUACAUCAGGCCACUACAGCUUACAGAUGUAAAAGAUCAGCAGCUGAGAGGCUCAUCCUUUGGCAGCUCACUGCUACAUUUAAAGAUUCUCACGAAGAAUCUCUCACCACCCAGCAACAGCAUGUCACCUAACAUCCUUAACGUGCUGCACGAAUCCUCCACCGACAGCUCUUGGCAGAGCUUUCAGAGAGAAUGAUGACUGUCUGUUGUGAUUCCUGAAGUACUGGUCGAGGUGUGAGAACCCCAGCUGAACCCUCCUGCACUACGUUAGCACAGCACAAUGCCUGGACUCAGAACUGAAGCAUCACACAUUAGUAAUGUCACCAUAAUAAAUGCAUUCAGGUGCUGCUUCAGCCCACUGGACGUUCCAUAUUGACAGAUGCAGUCAUUGUUUGAUUCCUGUCCCAACUCUGUCUUCCAUACAGACGUCACUGACUUUCAAAACUACGUUGAAGAAAGGGUCAUCGGGUACCUGUUUCUUAAGAGUAACUCUUCCAGACAGUCCCUAUAAUUAGCACUACUGAAUGCAAAGCACAGCCUGCCUAGUUUUUCCUCAGUGUUGUAAGAGAUUUUGAAAGGAAAACUAGAAAGCACACAGCAGGAAAAAGGAAUUCUCAGAACCCCACAAAAAGAAGCAAGGAAGAAGGCAGAAUGUGUUUGUAAGAUCACAGUAUUUUCUAAGCUCAAACGUUUGCAAAAGUAAGCCAUAAUAAGUAAACUCACCCGAAUACAACUGAAACAGCACAGCUUGGAGCAAUGAGGACACAGUCGUGCAUCACGCAAUUUCUCCAUACAAAUAAAACAUCGGAAUACUUCAGCAAUACUCUGGAAAAGGAUAGAUUAUUGCUAUUGUUAAGCCACACACUUCUGACACAUGAGAGAUGCAUUUUUCAGGCAGAAUGCCGGGAUGAACAGGUGCAAUCCCAUUCCAAACAGCAACGGGUAGCGCAUCUCAAAGCAAGAUACUGGGUCAAACACCACAGGCUCUCAUCCCCACCUCUUCUUACAUCCCACCAGCCCUUAGCACCCAUUUUGGGACACAGUUCCUUAAGGAAUACAUUUUUUUGUUUGAUUUCCCUUUUUCCAAGGGGGAAUUUCCGCAGCCAGGAGAUAUUAUUCCUCCUUGUGCUCACACGGCAUUGAACAGUUGCCAGAAACAACUGCACAGGUACCCAUGGACUCAAAACCUAGGAGCUCCAACAC
rnacentral:lncRNA from 1 species